CUUCCCUGCAAAAACUCUUGUUAGCAAAAAUAAAAAGGACAAAGUGAAGAGUUUCCUACAGCUGAGGUUAAAAAGUUUGUGGCAGCCACUAUAUAUCAAGGCUAGAUGUAAAAGGAAGCAAUGUUGGACUUCUAACAAGGAAAUACAAUACCUAAAAAUGUGCCUUUUGCUCAGAAUGACUGGCCAAGUGAGUUCAGACAGUGCACUCGAAAGUACAAGAAGUUCAAACAGUUUCCUGCAUGAGAUAUAGAAUGUCAAGCAAAAUAUUCAACAUGGAAAGGUGAACUUAGUCAGCAAACAACUUUUGAAAGCUAGUCAAGCUCAAGAGUAACAAAUCAAACUAUAUUGGAGGACUUUCGAGCAAAGGUCUAUUCCAUAAUCAGAAAGAAUGCCACCUCAAGAACCCAUCAAGAGUCAAAGAAGAUAACUAACCGGUAUUAGGCGUGACCCAGGUACACCUCUUCUUUGAUUGUGAACCAUCAGGUGGAGAAUCCAAAGCACCA